AGGAGAACGGCCUCUGAGAGGCUUGGAGACCAGCGACAACGGUCCUGUUCCAGAGCCUCCUGAUAAGCUGCUCUUUCCCCUCAUGCUAGACUGGCACCAUGACAUUUGGGACCAGGUCCCAAAAGCUGAAUGACAAAGUAAAUGCACACACCUGAACACAGCAAGCCAUGGAGGAUACAGUACAGGCAGUCCGGGGUUAUGAACAACCAGAUUUAUGGCAUUCUGUACUUACAAAUGGGCUCC